CAGUAGCCGCGGUAAUACGUAGGUGGCAAGCGUUGUCCGGAAUUAUUGGGCGUAAAGCGCGCGCAGGCGGAUCAGUUAGUCUGUCUUAAAAGUUCGGGGCUUAACCCCGUGAGGGGAUGGAAACUGCUGAUCUAGAGUAUCGGAGGGGAAAGUGGAAUUCCUAGUGUAGCGGUGAAAUGCGUAGAUAUUAGGAAGAACACCAGUGGCGAAGGCGACUUUCUGGACGAAAACUGACGCUGAGGCGCGAAAGCCAGGGGAGCGAACGGGAUUAGAUACCCCUGUAGUCACUGUCUCUUAUACA
rnacentral:rRNA from 1 species